AUGAACGCUGGCGGCGUGCUUAACACAUGCAAGUCGAACGAUUAAAGCUCACUUCGGUGAGUGUGUAGAGUGGCGAACGGGUGAGUAACACGUGGGAAACCUGCCCCUUUCUUCGGGAUAACUUCGGGAAACCGUUGCUAAUACCGGAUACUCCGGGAUGGUCGCAUGGCCGACCCGGGAAAGCUUUAUGUGGAAAGGGAUGGUCCCGCGGCCCAUUAGCUUGUUGGUGGGGUAAUGGCCUACCAAGGCGAUGAUGGGUAGCCG
rnacentral:rRNA from 1 species